UUUGACCCUGUACGCCUCAAGUUCAACUUUUAAAUUUUAAUUUUCAUGCAAUUCCCACUCACUUUAUUCACUUAUGCAACAAUUAAGCCCAAAAUGCAACUAGAACAGAAUUAGAACAUGCAAAGGAAACAAAUCAAUCAACUGGAUUGCCUCCCAAGUAGCGCUUGUUUAACGUCACGAGCCUGACCCAAACCUUUCUAGCACCCAUCAGUAGGUGCAAAC
rnacentral:lncRNA from 1 species